AGGCUAUGAUGACUAAAGUUAUACCAUCAAACUAUGAAGACUCAUUGUUGUUGAUGUCUUUGAUUAAUUCAUAACUAAUAUCUCUGAGCCU